rnacentral:lncRNA from 1 species
AUUAUUUUUAAUCACAUAUGAAUCCAUGUGUGUCUGUGUGGAUGCCCAGAGGCUUGAUGGUUUCAGUUCCCCUGGAGCUAGAGUUACAGGUAGUUGUGAGUCACCCAACAUGGGUGCUGGGAAGCAAACUCUGGUUCUUUGUGGGAGCAGUAUAUACUCUUAAGGGCUGGGCUUUCUCUGCAGCCUCAGUACCAUGUUUAAUAAAAACGUUGCAUGAGGGCUGGAGCCAUGGCUCAGUGGUUAAGAGCACUGACUGCUCUUCCAGUGGUCCCGAGUUCAAAUCCAGCAACCACAUGGUGGCUCACAACCAUCUGUAAUGGGAUCUGGUGUGUCUGAAGACAGCUACAGUGUACUCAUAUACAUAAAAUAAAUAAAUUUUAAAAAAAAA